AUUCGCUCCAGGCGCCGCGGUUAUCAGUGUGUCCCGCGGGUUAUCCGGGAAUUGUGGGCGUAAAAGGCGUCUAGGUGGUUAUAUAAGUCCAAGGUGAAAAUGCUGGGUUCAACUAGGUAUUGCCUUGGAAACUGUGUA
rnacentral:rRNA from 1 species